UACAGAGGUCCCAAGCGUUGUUCGGAUUUACUGGGCGUAAAGGGCGGCGUAAGGCGGCGUGGUAAGUCAAUUGUGAAAUCUCCGGGCUUAACCCGGAAAGGUCAACCGAUACUGCGGGGCUAGAGUGACAGAAGGGGCAACUGGAAUUCUCGGUGUGAGCGGGUGAAAUGCGUAGAUAUCGAGAGGAACACCUGCGGCGAAGGCGGGUUGCUGGGCUGACACUGAGCGCUGAAGUGCGAAAGCUAGGGGAGCGAACGGG
rnacentral:rRNA from 1 species